rnacentral:pre_miRNA from 1 species
GUUAAAGGUCAAUUGUCUUUAAGUAGGAAUAAAUUAGAAAAAAAAACUAGAUAGUUUUCCCUUCAAGUCAAGCAUCUUGU